rnacentral:rRNA from 1 species
GAUGAACGCUGGCGGCGUGCUUAACACAUGCAAGUCGAACGAAGCACCUUGAUUCGAUUCUUCGGAUGAAGAUCUUGGUGACUGAGUGGCGGACGGGUGAGUAACGCGUGGGUAACCUGCCUCAUACAGGGGGAUAACAGUUAGAAAUGACUGCUAAUACCGCAUAAGACCACAGCACCGCAUGGUGCAGGGGUAAAAACUCCGGUGGUAUGAGAUGGACCCGCGUCUGAUUAGGUAGUUGGUGGGGUAACGGCCUACCAAGCCGACGAUCAGUAGCCGACAUGAGAGGGUGACCGGCGACAUUGGGACUGAGACACGGCCAAAACUCCUACGGGAGGCAGCAGUGGGGAAUAUUGCAAAAUGGGGGAAACCCUGAUGCAGCGACGCCGCGUGAGCGAUGAAGUAUUUCGGUAUGUAAAGCUCUAUCAGCAGGGAAGAAAAUGACGGUACCUGACUAAGAAGCACCGGCUAAAUACGUG